rnacentral:snoRNA from 1 species
CAGGGAGAAAGUAGUGGUUGGGCCUGGGAGCUUUCCCUGAAGGUAUAGCAAGGAGGUAACCACAAAGAAGAUCUGUGUGAAGCAGGUUUGUGACACUGCUUGUCAGCAGCUGUCACCUGUCAUUGAUUAUCAUUCUUCCUUCCCUUUGGGUUGGGUGAAAGGAAAAGGAUGCAGGCUGAGUGGC